UCCGUAGGUGGCAAGCGUUGUCCGGAAUUAUUGGGCGUAAAGAGCUCGUAGGCGGCCUGUCGCGUCAAUUGUGAAAGCCCGGGGCUUAACCCCGGGUCUGCAGUCGAUACGGGCAGGCUAGAGUGUGGUAGGGGAGAUCGGAAUUCCUGGUGUAGCGGUGAAAUGCGCAGAUAUCAGGAGGAACACCGGUGGCGAAGGCGGAUCUCUGGGCCAUUACUGACGCUGAGGAGCGAAAGCGUGGGGAGCGAACAGG
rnacentral:rRNA from 1 species